rnacentral:rRNA from 1 species
CCUAACACAUGCAAGUCGAACGGUAACAGGAAGAAGCUUGCUUCUUUGCUGACGAGUGGCGGACGGGUGAGUAAUGUCUGGGAAACUGCCUGAUGGAGGGGGAUAACUACUGGAAACGGUAGCUAAUACCGCAUAACGUCGCAAGACCAAAGAGGGGGACCUUCGGGCCUCUUGCCAUCGGAUGUGCCCAGAUGGGAUUAGCUAGUAGGUGGGGUAACGGCUCACCUAGGCGACGAUCCCUAGCUGGUCUGAGAGGAUAACCAGCCACACUGGAACUGAGACACGGUCCAGACUCCUACGGGAGGCAGCAGUGGGGAAUAUUGCACAAUGGGCGCAAGCCUGAUGCAGCCAUGCCGCGUGUAUGAAGAAGGCCUUCGGGUUGUAAAGA